GAAGAGCAGUAAAUAGAAAAGGUGCCAAUGGAAAAGAAAGUACAAAAUAUGUGAUUCCAUUUAUAUUUCUUUAAAGCAGCAAAAUAAUAUUGCAUGUAAUUCAAAGUGGCGUUAUCAUAUAAGGCUUAUUUUAUCAAACUGAGAUUUCAAACUUUUAGAUAUUUUUAACAUUAUUUGCGACAUUCAGUCUAACGGGCUUUGCACAAAAGACAUGAGUAAGGGUCGAUCUCUCAGUAAAUGUAAUCUCAAUUAAAAUACGGCGGACUGUAAGCUGGGUCGCUUAUAUCCUUAACUAUAUGAUAUGAGGAAUGAUUAACUAUACAAACGCUAUAUAUGAAGACAUCCUGUAUGAUAUACAUUUACUCCAUGUGCAUGCAAAAAUUUUCGGAUUGCGAAGUUAUGACGAUGCACACGUCGGUCUAUUCAAGAAUGUAACUUUUUCGAGUACUUCAUUCUAAGCGUACUUCAGCAUGAGGAUAAUUUUCAAGUUCUUUAUUGCGGUCAUCUGACUAUUUGACGAUAUUAACGUUGUGUUGUGAUUUGAGCUAAUAGCUGCUUUAAAUAUUGUGGAUAUUUUUGCAAUCUCUUUACCUAUCCGAAUUAUGUGGAUAAAAUCUAUUAUAGAAAAUAUAAUUUUCUUCCCUGGUGUUUGACGGAUUGCUUGGCCGGAGGUAUUCACAGUUGCUUGAUUAUGAGUAAUUCUAUGUCUGCGCCAUCUACUUAGAGAAAUCUCUUUUUACAUAAGACAGCAUCACAACUCUUGUUAUCUUUGUAAUUACAAUAAUAAACGAUCUCGUGUUCCAAUGUGGAUGUUAUAUCAACUUCCUUUUUUGAAAGCAUUGCGGUCUGCAGUCUUAAGAGUUGCGUAACAUAAUUAAACUCUGGCGAGCACUUCAAUUUCCUAAAAAAUUAAAUACGGAAAACUGGUGUGA